rnacentral:misc_RNA from 1 species
UCCCGGUUAACCCGGGCAGUCUCGCUAGAGUGCCCACCAUUACGUGCUGGCAACUAACGACAAGGGUUGCGCUCGUUGCGGGACUUAACCCAACACCUCACGGCACGAGCUGACGACAGCCAUGCAGCACCUGUGCAAUUGUCUCUUGCGAGAACAGAACAUUUCUGCUCCUGUCAACUGCAUGUCAAAUCCAGGUAAGGUUCUUCGCGUUGCAUCGAAUUAAACCACAUGCUCCACUGCUUGUGCGGGUCCCCGUCAAUUCUUUUGAGUUUCACCCUUGCGAGUGUACUUCCCAGGCGGUAUACUUAUCGCGUUUGCUUCGGCACAGUCGGGGUUGAGUCCAACUACGCCAAGUAUACAUCGUUUAAGGCAAGGACUAC